CUUGCUUCGGCGGCGCAUAUUAAAUUGGAACAAUCACAGAGAAGAUUAGCAUUGGCUCUGCAGAGGGGUUGACACGCCAAUUCAUGAAGUGUUCCAUAUGUUU
rnacentral:snRNA from 1 species